UACCUGUUACCUUUAAAGAUGGACGCCCCUCCAGAGAGGAGAGACCACACCAGAAGAAUUUAAAGGUUACCUGGUCUGUACAGCAGCAUCAAACAGAGCUGAUCAAGAGGGCUGAGGCUUUCCUAGACAAGGAGCUGAAGAAGCUCUG